rnacentral:rRNA from 1 species
AACGAACGCUGGCGGCAGGCCUAACACAUGCAAGUCGAACGGGACCUUCGGGUCUAGUGGCGGACGGGUGAGUAACGCGUGGGAACGUGCCCUUUGGUUCGGAAUAGCCCCGGGAAACUGGGAGUAAUACCGGAUAAGCCCUACGAGGGAAAGAUUUAACGCCAAAGGAUCGGCCCGCGUUGGAUUAGGUAGUUGGUGAGGUAAUGGCUCACAAAGCCGACGAUCCAUAGCUGGUUUGAGAGGAUGAUCAGCCACACUGGGACUGAGACACGGCCCAGACUCCUACGGGAGGAAGCAGUGGGGAAUCUUAGACAAUGGGGGAAACCCUGAUCUAGCCAUGCCGCGUGAUCGAUGAAGGCCUUAGGGUUGUAAAGAUCUUUCAGUGGGGAAGAUAAUGACUGUACCCACAGAAGAAGCCCCGGCUAACUCCGUGCCAGCAGCCGCCGCCG